UGAUGUGCCCAGGUGUUCUUGCUCAGCCUAAUGAGCUGUUUCGAUGCCCCUGCCCUGGAGCCCUCUUUAGCUGCUUAGCAGGCCUAAGUACUGAGGUUUGGGUUCUUGCUGGUCCUGGCUCCUGUAGUGGUCUGCCCCUGUGGAUCACAAAAGUUUUGCUCAAACCCCACUCUUCCCUUCUGCAUCACCUCUGCAUGUAGUUAACAGGGUUAGGAUCCCUGUUACCACCCUCUCCACCCCCAGGUGCCUACUUCAUUUUGGCUGCAUCUGGCUGCCACAUACAGAAUGACUUUGGGGACCACUCCUUGACUACUAUGGCUCUACUCUCCUGACAAGGUUAAAACUGACGUUGCAGUCUAUUCUGUUAUCUCCCCUCGUCAAAUAAAAUGGGACUUGAUUCUCCUGAAUGUAAUCAUGGUGUGGACUGAAGUCAAACUGAAUGGGGCUGCAUAUGUGACUCAGUACAUCCACAAGUAACCAGGCACUGUGCUUCAGUGCUUACUACUAGCAGUGUUCCUCUUGCCUUCAGUGUGGACUGUUGCACUUCAUCUAACAGGUGGCUUCAGUCAUGAAGAGGCAUCAGCCCAGGAAUAACUCUCCUUGUAAGAGGCAAAGCUUGCUGCCCUCUAUUUUUAUCAUUGUCCCAAUAAUUCCUGCUUUUUGUAGACAAGAGCAGAAUAAAGGGAGCUGUGUCUUAAUAGAAAGUGUUUAGAUGGAAAGGAGGAGGAUGUUUAUUAUUCUGUUGACUGGAAAGCCCAUCAAGGCUUGGCUAAGUCCCCCAGCAAAGACUAUAACUAUGCUACUUGUCUUCCUUUCCUUUCCACCCUGUGGAAGCAAGGACCAGGGCUCCCAAAGGAACUUGGGGAUCGGGACCCCAAGAAAAAACCCUUCACUUACUGGGAUGAAGCGGCAGAGCCUGGUAGGGACUGGAAACGUCUCAUGCGUCCCUGCAG